rnacentral:rRNA from 1 species
UGUGUAGGCGGUUCUUUAAGUUUGGUGUGAAAUCUCCCGGCUCAACUGGGAGGGAGCGCCGAAUACUGAGGGACUAGAGUACGGGAGAGGAAAGUGGAAUUCCUGGUGUAGCGGUGAAAUGCGUAGAUAUCAGGAGGAACACCGGUGGUGUAGACGGCUUUCUGGACCGUAACUGACGCUGAGACACGAAAGCGUGGGUAGCAAACAGGAUUAGAUACCCUGGUAGUCCACGCCCUAAACGAUGCAUAUUUGGUGUGGGCAGUUCAUUCUGUCCGUGCCGGAGCUAACGCGUUAAAUAUGCCGCCUGGGGAGUACAGUCGCAAGGCUGAA